UCGUAAACACCUCAGAGAUAUUCCCCAAAUGUUAAAAGGUUUAUCAGUCUUAGACUUUCUCAUAUAUUUUUUAAAACUAAAACCUCGCAUAUAAAUACUCGCAGCCUUCUCUUCAUCAUCACAACUUCAGCAGUGGAGGAGACCUCUCUUCAUCAUCAUAGCUGCCAGGAGUGGAGGAGACAUCAUACAGAGAUUCACCAGAGACGAUAAUAAGAGAGCUAUGAAGCUUCUUGUGUUCUUGGUGGCAGUGUUCACGGUGUGCACGACACUGAGUCCAGGCCACAUCGAGAAUUUCGAGCAGACAGACAGUGGGUAUGGUUCUAUCCUGCUUGAGUGGGACUUCAUAGAGGGUGACGACCCACUGGUGAAGUACACCCUGGUUCUUCACGAGGACUUGUCUCUGGACAUCUACUGCCCUGAGAGUCACUGCUCUGCUCCUCUCAACGACCUAGAUGCUUGUGAGGGAGGACAGUUCUAGCUGACGCCUUACUUUGAUAACCCAGAGAAUGGCACAUACGCUGGAGACGUAGCUACCACCGUUGCUAAUGCUGCUGAUGAAGUUCCUGGACCACCUGCUGAUUUCGUUGUCGGCAACAUCACAGGUAGCUUUAUAGAAUUUAUGUGGAACGACCCUGUUGUAAACCCCAAGUGUGCUGCGGGGUAUGUCGUUUCAUGUUAUAUUAACAUGAAACGGAUCAGUGAAGAUUCCCAUCGUGCAGCAGAGGACUACGAGUACGACGUGCUUCUCGGCCCCAAUGAUCCCUGCACCACUUACAUCUGUUAUACUCUCUCCUUUGGCUUCUCUGGUGAAGAAAGUGAUGCAAUAAUUGUGAAUGUUACUACUGGAGAGCUAAGUAAUUAUUUCAUUUUUAUUGG